rnacentral:rRNA from 1 species
AUUGAACGCUGGCGGCAUGCUUUACACAUGCAAGUCGAGCGGUAACAGGCCUUCGGGUGCUGCCGAGUGGCGAACGGGUGUGUAAUGCACCGGAACGUACCCAGAGGUGGGGGAUAACGCAGCGAAAGCUGUGCUAAUACCGCAUGUGAUCUGAGGAUGAAAGCGGGGGACCGAGCAGCAAUGUUUGGCCUCGUGCUUUUGGAGCGGCUGAUGUCGGAUUAGCUAGUUGGUGGGGUAAAGGCCUACCAAGGCGACGAUCCGUAGCUGGUCUGAGAGGACGACCAGCCACACUGGGACUGAGACACGGCCCAGACUCCUACGCGAGGCAGCAGUGGGGAAUUUUGGACAGUGGGCGCAAGCCUGAUCCAGCAAUGCCGCGUGCGGGAAGAAGGCCUUCGGGUUGUGAACCGCUUUUGGCAGGAACGAAACGGUGUCCGCUAAUACCGGGCGCUAAUGACGGUACCUGCAGAAUAAGCACCGGCUAACUACGUG